AAAACAUCUUGGUAUGGGCUCUAAAACCAGUUGGAUGACUACUGAAGACUGCCAUCUAUAUGGACACUGCCAUCUAUAUGGACACUGCCUCAUGCAUCAGGGCCAGCUGAGGGAAUGAAAAGCCAACAAACAAAUGAAAAUGAGUGGAGAGCAAGUCAUAGAGGGAAGAGUUCUUCAGGUUAACAUCAUAGAUCUCCUACUGAAUGUUAGAAGCCAAUUACUGAGGGCACCUUGGAAUCAUUAUGUCCCCUCUGUAAUGAGUCAGUAGAGGUGAGUUCCAGGCUGGCAUUGAACUCACAGAGACCAACCCACCAUUGCCUUUCAAGUGAGGAUUAAAGACAUGGGCUACCAUGCCUGGCAUGAAGGAAUGAAGAAGGACUUGAAGGAAAUCAGAGACAGAGAGGAAGGUGGGUAGAAAAUUAGAAGAAAGGAAGAAAAGGAAACAUAGAAGAGAAGAAGUAGAAAAAAGAGGUCAUUUAUUUUCAAAAUGAAGGAGUGUCUGUUUCCAUUUCUUAAGCUAUUGAAAAUUUUUGUUUGUUGGUUUCUUGCUGCCAUUGAUGAUAAGGAAAGAUAAGAGAAAAUAGAAGUAGAUCCCACCUUUUGACAUUGUAUCAUCAGCAAAGUUGGCAGUGAAUAACCAUGUAUCUGAGGGGAAAAUUGUAAGAUUUUUUAAGUUAGUUUUUUUAUUUUUCUUGACCUACACUCACAGCUGUCUUGGACACAUAAAGAUCUGGCAAUGUGUUGAAUCCUCCUGGACACAGUGCACCAUAUAUUCCUUUGCUGAGUCAGUCAUGGCUGAGAAGGGAAAGCCCAGCUUGUGUUGAUGCCUAAAAUGUCCAUAGGUAC
rnacentral:lncRNA from 1 species